UACCUUUUUCUCUGCUGUAAUUGGUUUGCUUCUGUUAAUUAGCAGUAGCGAUUUUCAAACAUACUCUCAAUGUGUCUGUACACUUAUCUUAUAAACUGAAUUUGUUUGCUUUAUUGCAAAAGCUGACCAAGAUUUUGAUGACAGUAUCUUAACCAGGUGGCUGCAUGUAUAACUUUUGAGUUUAUACCCAAGCAUUCUUACAGCUUGUAUCUGAUGAUCACUGCUGAAGGAACCUCAAAACAUACUGGACUGAACACUGUAAAACCACAUGACAGUCAGUGUUGGGACAGUAAAUAACAAGCUGUAAAUGAGGGGGCCUUCGUCUGAUCAAAACUUCAUCGUGUGAGCCAUGUACUUCUGGUACUGUAGCUGAAAUGCUGCACUUGUCCUCAGAAUGGAUUUACAAGUGAACAAGAACAGCUGUGAGCUGUCACCUGGAGAAGGCUUGGGUAUGUGUCAGAGAUAUGAGAAGAGGCUUGAAUGGACACCUUCCUGCAUAUCUCACUACGUCUAUGGUCCUUUGGAUUUUGCAAGUUGGAGAUUUGAUGUAUGGCAGCAAUAGCAAUUACACUGUGAAGCUGCAAGAGUGUGAUUCUCAAAAAAGAAAAACUGAAGGAAGACAUUCAAGUAUUAGAUUUAGAAGCAUCAGUGCUGGAAAAAGAGCCCUUAGAUGACCCACUUGGAGUCUGAGACACCAAAGAUGCUACUUCAGAAAAGAAAGCAGAGGAAGUCACCAGAAGCCACGCAGAAGAAACACAUCUGGAGCAAAUGAUUCCAGCCAGAUGCAUGCACACAUUGGCAUGUUCAUGCAGAAACACAGACUCCAGUUCUCCCAGAAGCAGGCCCAACUACUCUCUUGGGACUGCAUUACUAAUUGAGGCAUAACAGUGGUCAGGCAAACUUAUGGAAACUGAGUAGGAAGACAACUGCACUGCUUUUGGAAGAAUAUUCAUGGAGUGAAGGACUGGAGAAAUCAAAGUAGUUCAUUGAAAAGAGUAAGCAAAGGGAACACUUGCUGUGGAUGGCACUGCUGCUUUGCACACCCUAAGGCUUGAAGACUCAAGCUGCAUGAGGACAGGCAGGAGCAGCUCUCUUCUCACUGGCCAUUUGCCAUGACAUGGGAAUGAACAUUGUGCAACCAGUGACCUAGAGCUACAGCAUCCCCACCUUGAGCAGUGGCAAUGGCAGAGCAAGGCUGGGCAAACCAAGAGGAGCAGAGACCAGCUGCAGGGAGAUGCAGCAAGGCAGCACGACAGUUCACCCACCUUCAGCUUUCAGCCUGUUGCCAGAGCUGGCAGGUGUUAUCCUGGUUGCCAGUCUUCCUGUCCAGUUGUACAUCCUCCAUCCUGAAAAAGUCUUCUUUAGACUCUCAAAGUAUGUUUGGUUGGCUUUCCUUCCUCAGGAUGGUAAACUUCAAAACCCAGGCUUUGCAGAAUGAAAUACUUGGGUUCUCAAGACUGUACACAUAGAAAUCCUGGGAAAAGAGUAUUGGAGGGUUUUGGACCAAUGCCGUUUCAUGUAAUAACAAUUCUUUGAAGAAGUUACCUGUUGUACGGUAAAUACAUGCAUCAUAAGUCAAUGAGGACAUACAAGAAACACUAGCUGUUUAUAGGCCUAAUACGAAUAGUCAUCAUUAUUAAAAUUACGGAAUAGGGAAGAAGACAAAACCCAAAUAUUUUAGACAUAGUGGUAAUCAGCUGCUUAUAAUAGAAAUAUCUUUAUUUAUUCUACAUGGUGAUAUUCCAUUAUUUCAGUUUAGCAGAGUUCCAUGUCAUAUGGUUUUCUUAGGAUUUAUCAAAAGAUCAAGAACCAGACUUGUAGAAAAGCAGCCAAGUUGAGUGUAGCACUGCUGAGAAGCAACACUGUCCUUGGUGACAUGUCCACAUGAGCUAGAAGUCAGCGUGAGCCAGAAGUCACGUGGAAUUACAGAGCAACACUAUACCUAGUAUUAUUAUUCAGAUAUUAUGCUGUCUGCAGUUCAUAGAUAGUGAAAGAAUUUUAGGACAGGCAUAGUCAAAUUUCCUGAGAAUAAGACCAGGAGCCAAAAAUUUCAACCCUUACAGGGACUUGCUUUGGACAAAAUAUCCAGUCUCAUUUCAUGCUGUCCGUAAAAGAGAACUAAUAUAUGCAUCUCCUGGGAUGUUGUAAAAUUUAAUUAUUAUUUUUUUAAGGUAUAAAUUGCAUGGAAUAUGGAGAGGUGCAGGUUUAUACACAAUAGCUUUGCAAUUGCGCUACGCAUAGUGCAGACCCUGCCUCUCCUCAGCAGGGGACAGACAGCUUGGAACUCGGCAAGUACUCUAUCCAGCUAGAACAAAUACAAUUUUGCAGUCCAUUGAUUUCCAUUUACAACGCCAAGUUUUAUUUGAUUUAUUUUUUUAAUAUCCGUGUGCCACAAGACUAACUUUUUUUUUCCCCCUUUUUAAAUGAAGUACCACUGGCACGUGGGCCUCAUUAGCCUAGCAGUAUUUUGGAUAAGUUAAGAUAAAGGAUCAGAAGACAAACAAAACCUGACCAUUUACGACAUCUCUAAUGAUACAGCCCAAAAUUUACUUCUACUUGUUUAAGACAUAUGUGAGUGAAUGUACAAUUUCUGAGCAUACCAAGUGACCACAUACCUUCAUGGACUACACAGAGGAGUCCCACAUAUAUGCAGUAAGGACAGAUUAAACAUCAGUACUAUAAGUGUAAUUUAAUGACUUAGGAAAUAAUGAUAAAAUACACACUAAGCAAAGCUGUUUCUGGUAAUAUAAAGUAAACAUGAUACAUAGGGGUGACAAGGAUAAUUUCACCUACCAGUGAUUAAAUAUGGGAAAACUUGCAUUGCCACAGCUCACGGCUUGCACCAGCUAGAGUGUAUGGGUGGAUGGGAGAUUGGGCUGUCAGGCUGUCAACUUCCAUGAGCACCAGCUCCUCGGUGAAAGGGAGAUGGCCAUUUUCCCAACACUGUCUCCAGCUUCUUUCUUUACAGCCAGUCAAGUCCAAUGACAUCAAAUAUUAAUCUGGCACACAACUUGGGCUGUCCAAAUGCAUUGUAUAACCAACAGCAUAUCAAAUCCUUGGGACCUGAUGACAAUCACUCCUUUGUUGUCACUCCCUUCAGUCACUUUAACCCAAAUUCUCAAUGGAAAGAUUGGUGCUUCAGAGAAGUGAUUACAGCAAAAGUGCUUCAAAACAUGAAAGAAGGGAGGGCAGAGCUGCAACUCAUCACGAAAGAUCCUACCAUAAAAUCUAGAGAAUGAACAAGAAGCCUUAGAUGAUCUCACAGCAAGAGAGUGUUAUUUUGUGCAGAGGCAGAAUUUCUCUGCAAGGUCAGAAUUCGGAGCAUCUUGGCUCUGGUAUUUGGGCUUGCAGCUCAGAGUUCUCUGUACAAGACUACAGCCAGUAGUCUGACCCUAAAUUAUUCAAAGGAACCCAGGAAAUAAAAUAUAGGCUAAAGAAUUCUUCUGAAUAACUUGAACCAAAAUCUGAAGCACAUUAGCUGGAAGAUCCAGAGAAAUAGCAUGAAGGAAAUUUCUUUAUAGUCUUGGAGAAAAAUGUGUGAACUCAAUUUAGUAAUUUACCUGGCUCAGCUGAAGAAAGAGGAAGUAUCUACACUGUGCUGGCACCACCACUGACCUUAUCAUAUGUGGAAUCAGGUAAGAACUAAAAGAGGGUUUUAAGUGUUCAGAGGGGUUCUGUCCUGGAGGUGUUUUUUGUGUUGUUUUUUUUUUUCCACAUUGUGUUUCUGAGUGGGGUGGAGUGGGAGAAAGGAUCAGUGUGAUUCCUUGCAGAGUCCCCAUUAAAUGAUGCUGAGAGGCAUAAGCUACCUCACUUAUGGAAAACUGCAUAUCAAGGGUGGUUUCUUGAAGAGACCAGCAUGCAUAUGUACCAGCCCUCAGAAAGCUGGUAAGAGCUUUUGCAUCAGAGUUUGAGCUGUUCAUUUUUAAGAACAAACAGUUGACAAAUAAAGAAAAAACAGACCCAGGCGUGUGGUUAAGUGAGUGUGACGUUGCACAGAAAGCUACUUCUUUGGCACUGGAGUGCAAAAUCCAAAUGCAGUGCUAAAGCUUAAAAGUAAUUACUAUCUGGAAGGCCUGGUAAUCUUGUGUCUGCUCCUGCAAGUGCACACACACAGGCCAUCUUAGCAGCUGAUUCCCUUUGAGCACAAGGAGAGAACAGGCACAGGAACAGUAACAGGCUUGAGAAGGACAGCCUAUCUCAAACCUUUGUGUCUUCAUCACAGAGGUUUGCAGUAUAGUAGGCUAUGCAGCAGUUGUUCCGCAAUGGCGAGCUCUGGUCUAGUGCUGUCAGUCUCCCACCCACUGCUCACGAACACCUACAUUCCCUUCAAAAAUAAAAUCGUAACAGCUCUGAAUACAAAUGUGCGAAAGUUUUACUAUUUAAAGGGAUCUUCUGUAUAAACUAUGUCAAAUGGAGCCCUUUCUAGAAUGGCACCCAAGAUGACUCUUUCUGCAGAUGCUGAUUUCUGCAGAUGGACUACUUUUUAGGCAAAAGCAUCUCUGAAAGAUGGGAAAGGAAUGGAAACGGCACGAGUUUCCAACUGGAAAGUCCAAUGGUAACCUGGAAUAAUUACAGCUUGAGGCCCCAGCAGGAGGGGAGCAGUGUGGGCAAACAUCACAUGCCUCAGCAGCACAGCUCUUCCCGCCAGCCCCUACUUUCAAAGAAGUGUGACUGUGAAAUAUCCCUCGUUGUUGAGGUGCAGGGAUGAGGAUGGUGGAGGCAGAUAGCACAGGUAACACACUGGGUCUGCUCUGCCCCUGCAGAGGCUCAGAUGUGCCCUCAGCCUUUCUGCUCUUCCAUCUGUAUUAGCUAAUUUUGUAUAGUGCACGCGCGGCCUCCUGAAGAUGUUUGAUGCCUUCCACUUAGGACUUACUGUUUUUCACUAGCGCAGGUUGCCCAGGGAGGCUGUGGAGUCUUCUUCCUUCAAGUUGCUCAAAAGCCACUUGGAUGUGGCUCUUGGACACGGGACAGCUUGCUGUUUGAGCAGGGGUUGGACCAGAGGUCGCUUCCCACCUCAGCCAUGGUGUGAUUCUGUACUUAAGGGGAAAAACUGGAUAUCUGAAGAGGAAUUAAUGCCUCCACACCUGAAAUCCCCUUUGCCAGGAGAACAGAAACAGAUCCAUAGUCUCUUGGUGGAGAUGAUUUUGCAGGGCUGUGAUCCAAGCCAGAAGGCCGAGCAGGAGUCCACUUUCCAUGCACAAACUACCACCACAGAAAUGAUGUGCAAAAUGACUCAAGGUUUUUAAGGAUAUUUGCAGACCUUAUAUGCAGUGGGAUGGAGGCAGAAGAGACUGGGCAGCCCGCCCUUCUCUCCAAGUGGAAGUGGCCUAGCAGGCUGUUUUUAUCUCCAGGUACACAAAAGGAAAUUAAACAAUUAGAACGAAUAGCUUAGAGCUUCAGAGGGGAAGAAAUCACUAUUGGUUUGACAGGUCUGUAAGUGAAUUACUUAUUUAUGUAGCUCAAUAGAUUUAAUAUUAAUCACAGAUGAAAGACGCAAGUUAAACAUGCUUUGCAAACAUGCGUGUUGACUUCUUAUUUACCCGUGAGUGGCUCAGGCUAGCAUUGCUGCCGGUGCAGCCACAGAUAGGGAAGGCCAGAUAGCUGAAACGUGGAACAAGUGAAAGCAAACCAAAUUGCUUUUAGAAGAAGUUUCAAAUGAAUGCACUUUCGGAGCUGCUGUAAAAGAUAAAACAAAAGAAGGAGCUAAAAACUAUGGCUGGGAUUCACUUUCUGCAGGCAAUUGUACAUCUGAGCUAUGGGCAGCCCAGAGAAGCUGUGGAUGCCCCAUCCCUGGAAGUGUCAAGGCCAGGUUGGAUGGGGCCCUGAGCAGCCCAAG